rnacentral:rRNA from 14 species
GUGACGGAGUAGUGAAAGGACUGCGUACUGACGGAAUAGUACGUUAAAGGGUGUAGGUAUAAGGACUGUAGGUAAAUCCGCAGAUCUUGCUGAACCUGAUAGUACCACAAAUCUUCGGAUGCGUGGAUAGUGUGCCUAAACAGACUUCCAAGAAAAACCUCUAAGCUUCAGAUUAUUGCUACCCGUACCGCAAACCGACACAGGUAGUCGAGGAGAGAAUCCUAAGGUGCUCGAGUGAUUCAUGGUUAAGGAACUAGGCAAAAUCGCCCUGUAACUUCGGGAGAAAGGGCGCCCCACUCCGGUGGGGCCGCAGUGAAAAGAUCCAAGCGACUGUUUAUCAAAAACACAUGGCUGUGCGAACUUGAAAGAGGAUGUAUACGGCCUGACACCUGCCCGGUGCUGGAAGGUUAAGGGGGGAUGUUAUCUUCGGAGAAGCAUUGAACUGAAGCCCCAGUAAACGGCGGCCGUAACUAUAACGGUCCUAAGGUAGCGAAAUUCCUUGUCGGGUAAGUUCCGACCUGCACGAAUGGCGUAACGACUUCCCCGCUGUCUCCAACAUCGACUCAGCGAAAUUGAAUUGCCUGUCAAGAUGCAGGCUUCCCGCGGUUAGACGGAAAGACCCCGUGCACCUUCACUACAGCUUCGCACUGGCAUCAGGCACAACAUGUGCAGGAUAGGUGGUAGGCUUUGAAGCAGGGACGCCAGUCCCUGUGGAGCCUCCCUUGAGAUACCACCCUUGUUCUGCUUGAUGUCUAACCGCGGCCCGUUAUCCGGGUCCGGGACCGUGCGUGGUGGGUAGUUUGACUGGGGCGGUCGCCUCCUAAAGCGUAACGGAGGCGCGCGAAGGUUGGCUCAGAGCGGUCGGAAAUCGCUCGUUGAGUGCAAUGGCAGAAGCCAGCCUGACUGCAAGACUGACAAGUCGAGCAGAGUCGAAAGACGGCCAUAGUGAUCCGGUGGUCCCAAGUGGGAGGGCCAUCGCUCAACGGAUAAAAGGUACGCCGGGGAUAACAGGCUGAUACUGCCCAAGAGUCCAUAUCGACGGCAGUGUUUGGCACCUCGAUGUCGGCUCGUCUCAUCCUGGGGCUGGAGCAGGUCCCAAGGGUAUGGCUGUUCGCCAUUUAAAGAGGUACGUGAGCUGGGUUUAGAACGUCGUGAGACAGUUCGGUCCCUAUCUGCCGUGGGUGUAGGAUACUUGAGAGGAGUUGCCCCUAGUACGAGAGGACCGGGGUGAACGAUCCACUGGUGGACCUGUUGUUGCGCCAGCAGCAGUGCAGGGUAGCUAUGAUCGGACAGGAUAACCGCUGAAGGCAUCUAAGCGGGAAGCCCCCCUCAAAACAAGGUAUCCCUGAGGACCGUGGAAGACCACCACGUCGAUAGGCCGGAGAUGUAAGCGCAGCAAUGCGUUCAGUUGACCGGUACUAAUGGCC